rnacentral:lncRNA from 1 species
CUGCAUGGCGAGAAGGAGGUCCAUUCUGACAAUAACUGGAGAACAAGCUUUCUAUCAAGUUUGGUGGAGUCAAACCAGGAGAGGUUAUGUAGUUAAGUAUACCUAAUUAAGUAGCUUAUGAAAGGAUACUGCUCAAUAUAAUUAUAUUUGUAUACUAUCGCAAUGUCUUCAAAAAUGAAGGCUGGGUAAAAAUGUUUUAGUAAAUACAUAAAAAAAGUAGCCUUCUUCACUUCCUAUAUUUGCAGUCUGAAGGAGGACACGGAGGGAAGAAGUUAUCACACUAGCCAUUAGUAAUAUUUGUUCAAAAAGAGGAGAGUGCCAAACCUCUGCUAUCAUCUAUCCUUUUCAUUUGGAUCUUAGGCAAAAUUGUCCACAGCUGAUCCUUGUUGAUUCUAAUUAAUCUGUAAUACUGGCCAAGCUUUCAGCUUGAAGAGUACAAACAAGUGACUUGUUCCAAAAUGUAAAAUAAAGCUUUAAAAUUGAUCUGUUCAACUAUUUAUUUGUUUAUCAUGUCAGAAACUAAUUGAGGGUACAGUUACAAUGUAUUUUUAAAAACACAAAGUUAAAAAUUUGACAUUAUACUACAUUUCCUUUGUCCAGAAGCUGGCCACUUGGAGUGUCACUGUGAGAAGGCCCUCCAUUGUGCAUGUGCCAGGGCUCAACUGCAUUCUGCUUCCAACACUGAUUGCGGUGAUACUUCAAAAAACAAAGAACAAGAAUGAAAAUAUUGCUUCCAACAACACACAAAAAGAGAGCAGAAAUAUCCCUUCUUCAGGAAGAAUAUUUAAAUAUUGACAUUUUUGUUUUGUCUUAAGUUGAAUGUGAUUCUUAGUGGUAAGAUGAUGCCCUUUUCAUCAUGAAAUUAGCAAAAGUCAAAGUCAUUAUGUUGAAUCUAUUGUAGCUUAUGAUUCUUGCUAGUAAUCAACUAGCUUUGACAUAGAAAUUCUUUAAAUGGUUUAUUGAUGAAAUUAAUGUAUGGCAUAUUCCAAAACAAAUGUUCAGAGAUGUUCCCAAAAUGGGAAAUUAUUCUCAAAUGAGGACUCUCUUUUCAAUCAUAUAACCUUCAAUAGCUUUAAUAAUUACCAAUGACCAUUUCUAUGGUGCCAGUCAUUUUCUGAGCAAUGGACUGCAAUGGAAAUAAACACAUCUGAAUUUUAAAAAUUGCUCUUGUACAAAAAAAUCCUGCAUUAUUCACCUGAAACUUGGCUUCUUCUUUGUAAGAGCUUUGUAGACCUAGAGCUAUGGGAUAGGCAGAAUACCCUUUGGCACAGCUUAACAGUGAACAGGCAACUA